ACAGCUUCAUGGUUGUUGGAUUCACUCCUCCUGUUCCACUAGAGGGCUCUGUCGUUGCUUUGCAUUGGGUACAUGAGUUGAUGUGAGGAGGAAGAAAACUGACGGUGGACCAGUAGUGCACUUAGGUUGCCGUUACCUGAAACUAACAAGCUAAAUCUGCCAUAGAAUCAUAUCCUUCUGGCGUUCAUGAGUGUUGCCCAACGUGGUUGAGUCAACUUAGCAACCGUUGCUAGGUGUGAAGAGACAUAGCCACAUGAUCAUAGAGGUCUGAAUGGAAUAAGAGCAGAAAAGAUUAUCUGACAAACUGAGAAAGACCACAGAUGAGGAGGAUCCCCGACAACGUAGGCUUCGUACAGCAUGCUUCUGAGGCCCGCUCCUACCGCAGCCUUCACAUCGCAUGAACGUCACGCAGAGAGUGGCUGGAACUGAAAAGUUUAUCCUUUAGAGAAUGGGAAGAGAGGCAGUCUAAAACAAGAGCUGACAAUGAGGAUGGAAAACAAUCUGAGAUUCACUUCCACCCUGUGCUUUAAAGUGAGAUACCUUGAACAGGCCUGUUAAAACUGUUUCUCACAGGAGCAAAGGCAGAGAUAUACU